rnacentral:rRNA from 1 species
GGCGAACGCUGGCGGCGUGCUUAACACAUGCAAGUCGAACGGAAAGGCCCUGCUUUUGUGGGGUGCUCGAGUGGCGAACGGGUGAGUAACACGUGAGUAACCUGCCCUUGACUUUGGGAUAACUUCAGGAAACUGGGGCUAAUACCGGAUAGGAGCUCCUGCUGCAUGGUGGGGGUUGGAAAGUUUCGGCGGUUGGGGAUGGACUCGCGGCUUAUCAGCUUGUUGGUGGGGUAGUGGCUUACCAAGGCUUUGACGGGUAGCCGGCCUGAGAGGGUGACCGGCCACAUUGGGCCUGAGGUACGGACCAGACUCCUACGGGAGGCAGCAGUGGGGAAUAUUGCACAAUGGGCGGAAGCCUGAUGCAGCAACGCCGCGUGCGGGAUGACGGCCUUCGGGUUGUAAACCGCUUUCGCCUGUGACGAAGCGUGAGUGACGGUAAUGGGUAAAGAAGCACCGGCUAACUACGUG